rnacentral:rRNA from 1 species
AUACGGAGGGUGCAAGCGUUAUCCGGAAUCAUUGGGUUUAAAGGGUGCGCAGGCGGUUUAUUAAGUCAGUGGUGAAAUCUCGGGGCUCAACUCCGAAACUGCCAUUGAUACUGAUAAACUUGAGUUCAGUUGGAGUAGGCGGAAUGUGUAGUGUAGCGGUGAAAUGCUUAGAUAUUACACAGAACACCGAUAGCGAAGGCAGCUUACUAAACUGAUACUGACGCUGAGGCACGAAAGCGUGGGGAGCGAACAGGAUUAGAAACCCUAGUAGUCC